AUUGAACGCUGGCGGAAUGCUUUACACAUGCAAGUCGAACGGCAGCACGGGGCAACCUGGUGGCGAGUGGCGAACGGGUGAGUAAUACAUCGGAACGUGCCCAAUCGUGGGGGAUAACGUAGCGAAAGUUACGCUAAUACCGCAUACGAUCUACGGAUGAAAGCGGGGAUCGCAAGACCUCGCGCGAAUGGAGCGGCCGAUGUCAGAUUAGGUAGUUGGUGGGGGUAAAGGCUCACCAAGCCGACGAUCUGUAGCUGGUCUGAGAGGACGGACCAGCCACACUGGACUGA
rnacentral:rRNA from 1 species